CUUGUAUUCAAGUCUGCAGCUGCUGGCUCUGACUCUGAACUGACUGUCUGCUGGCAUCAUCAGUGGUGGUCUGAGCAAAUUACAAUGCUUCCCCAUAGGAUUGGCUGAGACUGUCAACUAAGCAGAUCAGGGGCAGAGCCAGCACAAGUUAAACAUAUCCCUGGCCCAUCAGCAUCUUCUCAUUAAGAUAAAUUGAAUCAAUGCAUCUAAAUGAGGAAAGUUCAGUGUCUGCAUGCAGAGGGUGGAUACACCGAAUGGCAGUGCUGCACACUAGGCAGUACUGCCCAGGAAGCACCUCUAGCAGCCAUCUAAGGAGUGGCCAGUGGAGUUAUU